rnacentral:rRNA from 1 species
CCUACGGGUGGCUGCAGUGGGGAAUAUUGCACAAUGGGCGCAAGCCUGAUGCAGCCAUGCCGCGUGUGUGAAAAAGGCCUUCGGGUUGUAAAGCACUUUCAGCGGGGAGGAAGGCGGUGAGGUUAAUAACCUCAUCGAUUGACGUUACCCGCAGAAGAAGCACCGGCUAACUCCGUGCCAGCAGCCGCGGUAAUAUGGAGGGUGCAAGCGUUAAUCGGAAUUACUGGGCGUAAAGCGCACGCAGGCGGUCUGUCAAGUCGGAUGUGAAAUCCCCGGGCUCAACCUGGGAACUGCAUUCGAAACUGGCAGGCUAGAGUCUUGUAGAGGGGGGUAGAAUUCCAGGUGUAGCGGUGAAAUGCGUAGAGAUCUGGAGGAAUACCGGUGGCGAAGGCGGCCCCCUGGACAAAGACUGACGCUCAGGUGCGAAAGCGUGGGAAGCAAACAGGAUUAGAUACCCUAGUAGUC